rnacentral:rRNA from 1 species
GAUCCUGGCUCAGGAUGAACGCUGGCGGCGUGCUUAACACGUGCAAGUCGAGCGAAGCAAUUUAAGUGAAGUUUUCGGAUGGAUCUUAGAUUGACUGAGCGGCGGACGGGUGGGUAACGCGUGGAUAACCUGCCUCACACAGGGGGAUAACAGUUAGAAAUGACUGCUAAUACCGCAUAAGCGCACAGUACCGCAUGGUAUAGUGUGAAAAACUCCGGUGGUGUGAGAUGGAUCCGG